rnacentral:rRNA from 1 species
UACGUAGGGGGCUAGCGUUGUCCGGAUUUAUUGGGCGUAAAGAGCUCGUAGGUGGUUCGGUAAGUCGGAUGUGAAAUCUCCAGGCUCAACCUGGAGGGGUCAUUCGAUACUGCCGUGACUAGAGUUCGGUAGAGGAGUGUGGAAUUCCUGGUGGAGCGGUGAAAUGCGCAGAUAUCAGGAAGAACACCAAUGGCGAAGGCAGCUCUCUGGGACGGUACUGACGCUGAGACGCGAAAGCGUGGGGAGCGAACAGG